rnacentral:rRNA from 1 species
AACGAACGCUGGCGGCAGGCUUAACACAUGCAAGUCGAACGCAUCCUUCGGGGUGAGUGGCAGACGGGUGAGUAACGCGUGGGAACGUGCCCUUCAGUUCGGGAUAACCCAGGGAAACUUGGGCUAAUACCGGAUACGUGCGAGAGCAGAAAGAUUUAUCGCUGAAGGAUCGGCCCGCGUCUGAUUAGCUAGUUGGUAGG